rnacentral:tRNA from 1 species
GGGCCGGUGGCGGAAUGGCAGACGCAGGGGACUUAAAAUCCCCCGGGGCUUGAUACCCCGUGAGGGUUCGACUCCCUCUCGGCCCA